GGGCCCGCACAAGCGGUGGAGCAUGUGGUUUAAUUCGAUGCAACGCGAAGAACCUUACCUGGUCUUGACAUACACAGAAUCUUGUAGAGAUACGAGAGUGCCUUCGGGAAUUGUGAUACAGGUGCUGCAUGGCUGUCGUCAGCUCGUGUCGUGAGAUGUUGGGUUAAGUCCCGCAACGAGCGCAACCCACGUCUUUAGUUGCCAGCGAUUCGGUCGGGAACUAUAAGGGGACUGCCGGUGAUAAACCGGAGGAAGGUGAGGACGACGUCAAGUCAUCAUGGCCCUUACGAGUAGGGCUACACACGUGCUACAAUGGGGAAUACAGACGGACGCUAAGCCGCGAGGUGGUGCUAAUCCUAGAAAGUUUCUCGUAGUCCGGAUUGGAGUCUGCAACUCGACUCCAUGAAGUCGGAAUCGCUAGUAAUCG
rnacentral:rRNA from 1 species